GGAGUUGGACAGACUGUCGCCGUGCCGAAUCGGCAGGGAGGAAAGUCCGGGCUCCACAGGGUAGGACGCUGGAUAACGUCCAGCGGGGGUGACCCCGGGAAAGUGCCACAGAAACAAACCGCCUGGCCCUCACGCGUGAGAGCGGGGUAAGGGUGAAAAGGUGGGGUAAGAGCCCACCAGCUGUCGUGGUGACACGGCAGGCUAGGCAAACCCCGUCUGGAGCAAGACCAAAUAGGAGGAUGGUACGGUCGGCCCGGCCAAUAUCCUCGGGUAGGUCGCUCGAGGCAUGGAGUAAUCCAUGUCCUAGAUGAAUGACAGUCACCCCGCCCUCACUCGUGGGGGCGGGGUACAGAACCCGGCUUAUCGUCCAACUCCAUUU
rnacentral:RNase_P_RNA from 1 species